UUUAGCCCACUUAUUAAAAGUAAAUCCUGCCCAGUGAAAUUUAAACGGCCGCGGUAUCCUAACCGUGCAAAGGUAGCAUAAUCAUUUGCCUCUUAAUUAGAGGCUAGUAUGAAUGGAUAAACGAAAUUCUUUCUGUAUUAAUUUUACUUUUAUAACUUAUACUUCAUGUGAAGAUCCCUGAAUUCUAUUGAAAGACAAGAAGACCCUAUAGAGUUUAAGUGCUACAUCCCUCUCGUGGAAUUAAUACUUUAGUUGGGGCGACUAGGGAUUCCCUAAACCAUCCCUCCUCCCUGUGAACUAUAAUUCCUAUAUAUGACCCUAACCAUUAGAUUUAAAAACAAAACUCCCUUAGGGAUAACAGGCUUAUCUUCCUAGCAAGUCCAUAUUAACAGGAAGGUGUGGCCCCUCGAUGUUGGCUUAGAGUAACCCCUUAAUGCAGCAGUUAUGGUGUGUUAGUUUGUUCAACUAUUAAUUCUCU
rnacentral:rRNA from 1 species